rnacentral:rRNA from 1 species
GUGUCAGCAGCCGCGGUAAUACGAAGGGUGCAAGCGUUAAUCGGAAUUACUGGGCGUAAAGCGUGCGUAGAUGGUUUGUUAAGUCGAAUGUGAAAGCCCCGGGCUCAACCUGGGAACUGCAUCCGAUACUGGCAGACUAGAGUGUGGUAGAGGAUGGCGGAAUUCCCGGUGUAGCGGUGAAAUGCGUAGAGAUCGGGAGGAACAUCCGUGGCGAAGGCGGCCAUCUGGACCAACACUGACGUUGAGGCACGAAAGCGUGGGGAGCAAACAGGAUUAGAAACCCGCGUAGUCC